UUGUCUUUAACAAACAAACAAAUCAAAAAAAAUUAGCACUUGAAAAUCUAACCCUAGAAAUGUCAUAGAUCAGAGAAAUGACAUGAUUUGACACAUUUAAAAAUGAAUUUUUGCUGAUUUAAAACAAUCUUUUAAAAUAUUUAAUGAAGAACUUGUAGAUCUAAAAAGAUAUACAAGAGUCGAAACACAGAAAAACAAAAUAGAACUAAAUUGAUCGAUAGGAUAAUGAAAUCGAUUGUGUAGAAUCAAUUUAUCGGAUCAGAUUUCUCAAAAUCAAACUGAAGAUCAGACAUUUUUGCAGAAAUUGAUUUGGGUUUGAGAAAAACUCAAGGAGGGAGAGAGAAG
rnacentral:lncRNA from 1 species